CCCUUUCUCCUUUAAGUCCAGAAGCCUUUCGACUCACUCUCGUAUGGCUCGCCCUCGAGACCUGGGCGGGCCCACUUCUACUAAGGCUGGGCUUAAUAGGAGCACCGAACCAGGACGGAACCACCAACACCCGAAAGGGAGUGGCUGCUCUCGACCCCGGUAAACGAAUGCUCUUCGAAUUGGUACCUAAACCCUAGUUAGUUCCUGCCACCUAUGCUGCUUUCGAUGCUUAUAGCCUUCGUGCCAAGGAAAGACGUCCAAAAGUUUUUUUUGCAUCCCAAUCAGUAUUUCUCUCCAAAGCCCGCUCUCCUCUGGUUUCAAUCUCCAUAACAGCUUGGCAGAUAGUGCUUUGACAGCCUUCUUGUACUAAGUGCAUCAUUUUGUAUUUCCAACUUUUGCUUUGUAACUGGGCCCCACUCGGAAUGGUUACUGGACAAGGGCGCAUUUGGUUCAAGAUUUCUUACUCAACUCCUAAGGGAGACGUUUUCUAAAAAGUGUCACAUUUUCCGAAACGCGGCUAGACCGAGGCAAAACAAGAGUGCAGCUUCAACCGAUCCCCGAUCUAGCGACAUCUUUGGCGGCCGAUUAAGGGCGUCUCAGCUAUCUCACCGAAUCGAC
rnacentral:lncRNA from 1 species